UGCCACACUUGCAUUGCCAAGCUUCAGUGUAGUACUGUAAUGGCAUACUGAAUCCGGGUUGAAUUGGAACGUGAACCGGCAUACAAGGGAAGCAUCUUCCGCACUUGGAUCUACAAGUGGGUGGGGAAGAACCCAGCCCGCCUAGUCUCCUCUGGGUCAGAACCCGCGAAAUUGGAUCCGACCCACUUCCUCUCUCCUCCUCUUCUCUUCACCUCUCUUCUUAUUCAGUUGUGGGCGACGUCCGACAACGACAGUUUAGCAUCCCCAAUCCGAACACUUUGAUGCUAACCCAGUUGUGGAUUGUCAUCCGGUUGUGAAUCGAAUCUUUUGGUUGUUAACUUCCGAUCGGAUCUGCAAGUCAAUUUUUUUUAUUGUUACCAAAAAGGGUCAAUUAGGCCCUUAAGCUUUUUUUUUGUCAAUUGAACCCCUCAACUUCAACAGGUGGGUCACAUUUGUCCUUCCAUCCAAUAACUAUUAGAAAUCGCUGAUGUGGACACUAAUUUCUGACAUGUCAUUGAAUUUUUUAAAUAAUUCUAAUUUGUGGAGUUAUUGACAUGGAAUUUAAUAAAAAAAUAAAGUAAAAUUAUAUUAUUACAAAAACGAAAUCGUAUUAGGGUUGAAAUAGCAAAACCCCAAUUCCUAUUGGGUUGAUGAUUCAGACCUUCAUCGCUGCGCAACUCUCAGGCACAGCACAUAGUAUAGGGUUCUUGUAGCUCGAAAUCUUGAUUCAGUUGCAGACCGAGUUUCAAUCCUUGCUCAGAUUAUUGGAUGAAGAGAGAGGAGAAAGCUUAUUUGAUGAAGAUUCUGAUGCUCUCUGCUCUCUCUCUCCUCUGCAAGAUCUGCGUGUUUGCUGCUUGUCUGGUCGCUGUGAUAUGUGGAGGAGCUUAAUGGGUGAUAUUGUGAUUUAUAUAGCUGGGUUUCAGAGCUAUGAUGCAAGAAUAUAUGUAUCACGGUGUUGUGAACUUGAUGGUUGUUAUGAGCUGCUAUUUGCCCAGACUUUGCAUUUUUAUUUGGGACAGAGUGUGACUUCAUAUGUAUGAAUUUAAUGUUUAUUUUGGAUAUAUAUUGUUUUGUUGUUAAAUAUGGACAUCUAUUAGCUUGGAUGUUGUUUUUUGGCUUGCAACAGUAAGAUACGU